rnacentral:tRNA from 1 species
GAAGAUUUAGCUCAGUUGGUACAGUGCUUGCCUGGAAAGCAGGGGGCCCUAUGUUCAAUUUCCAGAACAUCA